CAACGACCACUCGGCGGUUGCUCAUCCGAGUGUGCAGCUGCAUUCGAAAAACCGUAAUGUGCCGCUCAAUAGCAAUGGCCAACAAAUUGGCUACAGAGGCUGUCAGACUGGUAUCAAUGAGACCCUGACGGAGAAGCCAGAUGUCUGCUGCCCACAUGUAACGAAUGAUUCCUGCUCCACUGUUGCUUCUAUGGAAAGAGGCCUGCUACACCUGAAAAAACAUAUAUUUUUAAUUGAGAAAUUUAAAAUGUGGCUGGUAUUAUGC